rnacentral:rRNA from 1 species
UAUUGACAAUGAAGAGUUUGAUCCUGGCUCAGGAUGAACGNNNNNNNNNNGAACGCUAGCGAUAGGCUUAACACAUGCAAGUCGAGGGGCAGCAUGGUCUUAGCUUGCUAAGACUGAUGGCGACCGGCGCACGGGUGCGUAACGCGUAUGCAACUUGCCUCACAGAGGGGGAUAACCCGUCGAAAGACGGACUAAUACCGCGUACACUCUAUGUUGGGCAUCCAAUGUAGAGGAAAUGAAAUUCGCUGUGAGAUAGGCAUGCGUCCCAUUAGCUAGUUGGUGAGGUAACGGCUCACCAAGGCGACGAUGGGUAGGGGAACUGAGAGGUUGAACCCCCACAC